CAAGUCGAGCGGAUGAAAGGAGCUUGCUCUUGGAUUCAGCGGCGGACGGGUGAGUAAUGCCUAGGAAUCUGCCUGGUAGUGGGGGACAACGCUUUCGAAAGGAACGCUAAUACCGCAUACGUCCUACGGGAGAAAGCAGGGGACCUUCGGGCCUUGCGCUAUCAGAUGAGCCUAGGUCGGAUUAGCUAGUUGGUGAGGUAAUGGCUCACCAAGGCGACGAUCCGUAACUGGUCUGAGAGGAUGAUCAGUCACACUGGAACUGAGACACGGUCCAGACUCCUACGGGAGGCAGCAGUGGGGAAUAUUGGACAAUGGGCGAAAGCCUGAUCCAGCCAUGCCGCGUGUGUGAAGAAGGUCUUCGGAUUGUAAAGCACUUUAAGUUGGGAGGAAGGGUUGUAGAUUAAUACUCUGCAAUUUUGACGUUACCGACAGAAUAAGCACCGGCUAACUCUGUGCCAGCAGCCGCGGUAAUACAGAGGGUGCAAGCGUUAAUCGGAAUUACUGGGCGUAAAGCGCGCGUAGGUGGUUUGUUAAGUUGGAUGUGAAAUCCCCGGGCUCAACCUGGGAACUGCAUCCAAAACUGGCAAGCUAGAGUAUGGUAGAGGGUGGUGGAAUUUCCUGUGUAGCGGUGAAAUGCGUAGAUAUAGGAAGGAACACCAGUGGCGAAGGCGACCACCUGGACUGAUACUGACAUUGAGGUGCGAAAGCGUGGGGA
rnacentral:rRNA from 1 species